AGCUCCAAUAGCGUAUACUAAAGUUGUUGCAGUUAAAAAGCUCGUAGUUGAAUUUCUGGUCUCGGACAUCGGUCUGCCUCGAACGAGGUACGUACCAGUUGUCUGAAUCCAUCCUCGGGGAAAACGUAUCUGUCAUUCAGUUGAUGGGUACGGGAUCCUCGUCAUUUACUGUGAGCAAAAUAGAGUGUUCAAAGCAGGCUUAUGCCGUUGAAUACAUUAGCAUGGAAUAAUAAGAUAAGACCUUGGUCUAUUUUGUUGGUUUGUACUCCAAGGUAAUGAUUAAUAGGGAUAGUUGGGGGUAUUCGUAUUCAAUUGUCAGAGGUGAAAUUCUUGGAUUUAUGGAAGACGAACUACUGCGAAAGCAUUUACCAAGGAUGUUUUCAUUAAUCAAGAACGAAAG
rnacentral:rRNA from 1 species